GGCAGUGACUAUGGUAAAAAGUGAUUCAAAACCUACAGCUACUUCAUCUCUAGCUUUAAAUUCAUUAGGCACCCCCCUAGGUACCCCAAUGGCAUCUAUGUAAAUGUGGGGGUCAAAACUGCCUUUUACUGGGGUUUCGCGCCUUACUCUGGCUGAUGUAUGUGGAGGGUCGUAUGUGUCAUGAUGAUUAUCAGAAAUAAUAUGAAUGGGCAUGAUAACUUUGGCUAGGGUACACUCACCCCACCACUCAGUUUCCAGCCUAGAUCUUAAC
rnacentral:lncRNA from 1 species